GACGAACGCUGGCGGCGUGCCUAACACAUGCAAGUCGAGCGAUGAAGCCUUCGGGUGGCUUCGCGGCGGACGGGUGAGUAACACGUGGGUAACCUUCCUCAAAGAGGGGGAUAGCCUCCCGAAAGGGAGAUUAAUACCGCAUAACAUCAGAUUGUCGCAUGACAGUUUAAUCAAAGAAGUAAUGCACUUUGAGAUGGACCCGCGGCGCAUUAGCUAGUUGGAGAGGUAACGGCUCAACAAGGCGACGAUGCGUAGCCGACCUGAGAGGGUGAUCGGCCACAUUGGAACUGAGACACGGUCCAGACUACGACGGGAGGCAGCAGUGGGGAAUAUUGCACAAUGGGCGAAAGCCUGAUGCAGCAACGCCGAGUGAGUGAUGAAGGACUUCGGGUUGUAAAGCCCUGUCUUCUGGGACGAGAAUGACGGUACCAGAGGAGGAAGCCACGGCUAACUACGUGCCAGCCGCCGCGGUAA
rnacentral:rRNA from 1 species